rnacentral:rRNA from 1 species
GACGAACGCUGGCGGCGUGCUUAACACAUGCAAGUCGAACGGUGAAGCUCCAGCUUGCUGGAGUGGAUCAGUGGCGAACGGGUGAGUAACACGUGAGCAACCUGCCCCAGACUCUGGAAUAAGCGCUGGAAACGGCGUCUAAUACUGGAUACGAGAUCAAGCCGCAUGAUUAUGGUCUGGAAAGUUUUUCGGUUUGGGAUGGGCUCGCGGCCUAUCAGCUUGUUGGUGAGGUAAUGGCUCACCAAGGCGACGACGGGUAGCCGGCCUGAGAGGGCGACCGGCCACACUGGGACUGAGACACGGCCCAGACUCCUACGGGAGGCAGCAGUGGGGAAUAUUGCACAAUGGGCGAAAGCCUGAUGCAGCGACGCCGCGUGAGGGAUGACGGCCUUCGGGUUGUAAACCUCUUUCAGCAGGGAAGAAGCGAAAGUGACGGUACCUGCAGAAGAAGCACCGGCUAACUACGUG